CAGUCGCCACGGGAAUACAGAGGGUGCGAGCGUUAAUCGGAUUUACUGGGCGUAAAGCGUGCGUAGGCGGCUUUUUAAGUCGGAUGUAAAAUCCCUGAGCUUAACUUAGGAAUUGCAUUCGAUACUGGGAAGCUAGAGUAUGGGAGAGGAUGGUAGAAUUCCAGGUGUAGCGGUGAAAUGCGUAGAGAUCUGGAGGAAUACCGAUGGCGAAGGCAGCCAUCUGGCCUAAUACUGACGCUGAGGUACGAAAGCAUGGGGAGCAAACAGGAUUAGAGACCCCCGUAGUCCCUGUCUCUUAUAC
rnacentral:rRNA from 1 species